UGGGGGUGGUGUUGGGAUUAACAUGUGCAACUGGCAAGUGGAGGUUUCUAACUACAGUAACAAGUCAACGGGUUCCCUCCUCGGAAUCCUGCAUCACUGUCUCAUUCCCACGUUAUGGUCACCGACCCAUGCAAUAGUGUGAGCUCCAGAAGCGUCUCCAUCUCUCCAUCUCUCUCCCUUUGCACGCACACACCUUCAUUCAUGGAAUUAGUGAGUCUGAUUGGGCAUUAAGUUGCCGAGCCAACUUUGGUACCUAUCAUCUGGUUCCUCCG
rnacentral:sRNA from 1 species